rnacentral:rRNA from 1 species
AUGACUAGCAAGUUAUCUUCUUCACAACAUUUAUUCUAUGGAGCAUUCCAUCGAGCACCUUCUGUGCAUUCAUCCUCUGGUCACCGAAGAAGGCACCGCACGACAUGGCCACGCCGGAGCAGUGACCAGCUGAACGGCGAGAGUAAGGACCAGAGGAACGGCGGCCGGACGCCUCCACCCGAGAGUAGUGGCGCCUGCGUGAAGAAGAAGGCGACCGUACGCACAGGUGAGGUCGCGCGGCGGCGCACCAUGGAGCCGGCAGAUGCAGCCGCGGCAGUGAGAAACUUGGGUGGCGUCCAUGGUUCUUCUUGUGCGGUUGUGGAGGCGACGGGGGACUUGGGUUGCUCGUGCUCGGCAGGGAUCGCCCUGGUCGAGCGUCGCCGCCGCUAG